rnacentral:rRNA from 1 species
ACUCAAAGGAAUUGACGGGGGCCCGCACAAGCGGUGGAGUAUGUGGUUUAAUUCGACGCAACGCGAAAAACCUUACCUGGGCUUGAACUGUUAGUGGUAGAAACCGGAAACGGCGACGACCCGCAAGGGAGCUAACAGAGGUGCUGCAUGGCUGUCGUCAGCUCGUGUCGUGAGAUGUUGGGUUAAGUCCCGCAACGAGCGCAACCCUUACCCCAUGUUACCUGUAGCAAUACAGGGUCUCUGAGGGAACUGCCAUUGAUAAAAUGGAGGAAGGUGGGGACGACGUCAAGUCAUCAUGGCCUUUAUGUCCAGGGCUACACACGUACUACAAUGGUCGGUACAGAGGGCAGCGAUACCGUAAGGUGGAGCAAAUCCCACAAAGCCGGCCUCAGUUCAGAUUGUGGGCUGCAAUUCGCCCACAUGAAGUAGGAAUCGCUAGUAAUCGCAGAUCAGCACGCUGCGGUGAAUACGUUCCCGGGCCUUGUACACACCGCCCGU